rnacentral:misc_RNA from 1 species
ACUCUUCAACCCUCCCUUUUCUCAGUGACUAGAGAGGUGCUUGGAUUCUGAGUGUUGCCCCUUACCCGGGCUCAUUCGUAAUGCAUUAGCAUCCCAUUCGAAUUUCGGAUUGACUUGGCGUAAUAGACUAUUCGCUGAGGAUUCUACUCUCGCAGUAGAGCCGGGUUCGAGAGGAAGCUACUAAUCUAGCUUAGUCUACCUUUAAG